CUCCGGGUAGCUCAGCGGCAGAGCAUCGGAUCAACGGUCGGCACAACCUUGCCCUCGCGGGCCGACGCUCGACUGUUCUCGUUAAACCGGCGGUCGCAGGUUCGACUCCUGCCCCGGAGA
rnacentral:tRNA from 1 species